rnacentral:misc_RNA from 1 species
AAAAUGCGAUAAGUAGCGUGAAUUGCAGACGCUUUGAACGCCGAAAUUUCGAACGCACAUUGCGCCAUAGGAUUCCUAACCUAUGGCACAUCUGGUUGAGGGUCGUGAUCAAACACAGACAAGGAUUGAGUCUGUAGUAAAGCUAAUUGGUGGAU